AUAUAACAUGUGUACCUUAAAAGUAAAUGGACACGUAAUUUACUUUACCUGGCCCUCUCGGGCCUCGGACCCACCCAGCAUAGUCUAUCCAAAUCCAGUAGGAAACACUGAGUAAAAAGCACAUUUUGACUAUUUAAUUUAUGCAAUGGAAAGUAAUUUGGCAAAAUAAAUGGACAAAAUGUCAAUGUACAUGUUCAGUGUUUGGCAAAUUUUUUCAUUAUAUUCGGCUUAGGCCAAGAAUUUUAAUUUUGGUGCACCCCUAACUCAAACAAUAGAUAUUGUUAUAUUGCACAGCCCUACUUGGUAUAUUACUAACAUAUUAACUCUUGCCUCCUGGAAGUAGGUCAUAAUUGCAAGUCAUAGGCAGUUAUCCAAUUUCAUUUCAUUUUCACAUUUGAGGGCGAGAAGUAUUCAGCGUUGCACACUCUACUUGUUAAGUCCACCAUCCAGGUACUCACUGCACUGCAUUUUGCCAUACUUGUCAGUGUGAACGCACUUGAAUACUGAAAAUAUCAAGUGUGAUUACAGAAGGGUGUGAAUUGGUACACAGGUACAGCUUAAUCCAUUCUUUACAGUUUUGCCAUUGGGUUUGUGGUGUGGGGGAAAAAAAUGGCAUGGCCCCCUAGACUCUGCAUAAUGCUUCAACAUGUGAAGAAAUCCAAAGCUUGACAGGAGUUUAGCAAACAGUCAGUACAUGAUUCAUUUGUUGUGUGUUUGUCCAGCAUUGACAACAAGUGGUUAAGGUGUUGUUUGGUCCCUACAGCAACCAAAUGUCCCAGAGCAAAAACACCUGAAUCCCUGUCUGACUGCAUCAGCUUAAAUAUAAUUCAUGUAAAAUCUAAAUGUCGUCCAACAGACCGGGGAAACGGAAUAAUCACUUGGAAGCUGCUAUCCACGAGGCCAUGAGUGAGCUGGAUAAAAUGUCGGGCACAAUCCCGUCGAGGGAUCGUCAGGUGAAGCUCCCCAAGCCCAAGAGGAGGAAGAUAUCCAGAUAACAUUGAAUGUGUCGGCCCAAGAACGUCCUCAAAGCCUUCGGAGACUUCGUCCGUACAGCCUUGAUGCGAUCUGAGCUCUCUAACAGGUGCUACACAUGGACUUUCAGUGGUACAUCUAUGUUCCAUGAUAUCAACUUGACUUGAUGACUGACCACAGAAGGUGCUGGAAACUCCAAUCACCCAAUACAGUUUUAACUGUAGAAACUAAAUAGAGAAAAACGUCAAAAACGGUUGCAAUUUGUCUACAGCUCACUGAAUUAACUAUUUUUUUGUAGUAUAAGAUAGUAAAACAGACAAAAAAGCUACAAGCAUUACCUUACAUAUUUAAGAAAAAUAGACAGUCCAAAUAUUUCUGAUACAUUUUCAAUAUGUAUAUAGAUAAUCCUGAAAUUUCAUGCUAUUGAGAAUUGUAUGUAAAUAUUGUACAAUGUCAUGUACAAGCAUACCUAAUGCACAUUUUAUCUUUUAUUGUACAAAAACAAAGCAGAAGUACCAAUGUCUUGGUUUCUAUUCAGAACUGCGGUUGCAUACGGCCGCAUGCAUAGGAUAAAUAUGAAUACAGCCUAAAGCUUUUAUAUGACGAACUGUAAGACUUGCUGUUUUUUUGUUGUUGUUUUUUUGUGUAAGGGAACAGCAGCGGAACAGGCAUGAGUAUAUGAGUUCUCCAUUACGAAAGUCACUUCACACCAGUUAAGUGUUAUUUUGUAAUGGGGGGAAAAAAAGAAAAAAAAACAGAAUGAACUUUACCAGCAAAAAGUGUUCAAUGGUCCCCUAAGCAGGGUGGGAAAUGACCACCAGCCGGAUGAAUGUUGGUAAAUCUUCAUCUGCAUUUCACCACUCACUCUGACAGGAAAAUCAUGAUAUUUGGAUCCAGUUUUGUGCUAAAAAAGUCUCUUUUUUGGGGGGGUUACCAAUCAUUGUAACUGGCAGACAUAAGAUAGUUCUGCCGUUUUUAUGAAGGAAAAAUCCACUUCAGGCACUUUCACAUUGUUCAGGGUCAUUUUGUGAUGUUCCUUUGCAUUUCAGGAGUUUUACAAAAAAAAGUAUAGUAAAGAUUUAAAUUUUUUAGUGAAUCAACACUUAGUGAGUCCCAAGAUUUUCCAGAAUGACUUUCUACAACUCCCAAUGAAGGCUCCGGAGUGCCCGAUGGUAGAGCUGAAAUGAUUUUCUUUUGGCAUUUCAUAGACUAAAUUGACCAUUUCAUCGGCACAUUAAUCGAUAAUUUGUAGCUGUUUCUAUCAGUAUGUUUCCAUGAACUGUAGUAACAUGGUUACUGUAAAGCUACAUAUACAUGCGGCAGGUUCAGUAGUCAAACUUCCAUGUUUCUUGUUAACAUGAUGUUUAAGAAAUAUGCGUAUUGGAGAAAUCUAACUUGUGUACUUCAGUGCAUGUAAACACACAAUGUUCAGUAAGCCCAUCACUAGAAAUUUAUGUCUUGUGGCUACAAUGCAUUCUGGUGUAUUACCUGCUCUUCGGGGUGUGGAAACUGGUGUCAGUAUCUCAUCUAUGGCGGUUUUCUGUCUAUCAGCCUUUUUAAAAUAAGGCCUAUAAACUUAACAUGGUGUCAUGUUAACAUUUGGCAAGUUAUUAAACACUGAGCACAGUAGGUGGACCCUGUAUGCAACAUUAAAUCACUCUAAAAGAGUGUUUUUGGGUGGAUUUUUCCUUCAACUACAAAAAUCACAAGAAUACAGGCUACAUUGAUGCCAUUUGGUUGUUGUGAUUAUGUUCUUGUGCUCGUUUGUACAGUGAUUUUUCCAUGACUGUAGUCGUUUUUUGCCACAGCUAUAGCUUUAGGUAGAGUAACCAACCUCAGAGACGGAGUCUAGAUUGUCAUGAGGAACACGAACUCGGUUUUCAAGAGCAGUGAAAGCAUUUCUCGCAUUUAGGGGCCUUGUGUCUUGUUUUUUUUUUUUGUUUUGUUUUUGCUUAUUGAUGUAAAUUAUUUAUGUACAGUACUCCAUAUUUAUUUUAAGCUUUACAAAUAUGAUAGACGGCAAUAAUACUACCAAGAGUUGAGAACUCAAGCCUUAUGUGUGUAUAUGUAUGUUUUUUUUUUUUUGUUUCUGUUUUUUUAACAGAACAUGUAUUCAGAGUCCGUUACAAAUGUCAUGUUACCUCUUAUUUAAGAAGUGAGCAGUACAGACACACACGGCGAGGCAUUCUGGUCUACUUACUUUUGUUACAGAUUGUGUCAUGGAUUUCUUAGUUAAAGGAAAAAAAUGUAGUAACGUCUGCCUACAAGACCAUACUAUUUAUGAAUAUGCACACGCGGAAAGGCAGACAGCGUUUAUGUUUUCAGUUUUAACACUACUAGCUAUCAGCUGCAAAGCUAAAAAAUCAUCACUUGAUCAGUCUUAAAAUAGAUAGUGAUGCACAGUAUUGGGAACUGGAUCAACUCGUGUGAAACACACACACACAGCUGCUCUUCCAGAUCAAAAUCAACCGACAACAACUUGAAAUCACUACAGAAUUAUCAAGUGCAAUAUAGAAAUCAAUGGCAAAGAUCAACAGCUUUUGAAACACUGCAUCUCUGAUUGUUUAAAGCCUUUUCUUUUGUACACACACUUCAACAACUUUGACUGUAAUUUGUUGCCUGUUUUCAAAAUGUUGACCUCUCCUCUGAUAUGCACAUGCUCAAAUAAUCUGUCACUUUUUUGUUUUGUUGGUAACAACAUUCAUCUUUUUUCAGAUGUCCUGACCUAAGAGCCAUGAAGUAGUAAUUUAUUAGUAGCUUUACGUUUUACAUGUACACACACAACUGUUAACUCCCAGGCUCAAAUUUCAUUUGAAUUGAGUUUGUACUGAGUUAAUCCACCCAUAUCAAAAUAUCUGAUGCACACACUAAACCUCCAGAUAUAAAGAUUUACUAAAAUGCCAUUAAAAACCCCAACUAUUACAAGUGUUUCUGAUGGAUAACCUCAAAACCAAAUAGUACACUACUUUUCUUUCUCACUCAGUAAAACAUGAAAGCACUACUAUUAAAACAUAUCCACAACUUGUGCACACAUGUUUUAUAACCCCAGAGGAGGCGUGGAGCCCACAAAUGUACUUAGUUUUAUAAUAUACUCCUAUAUCCUAAAUGAGUCAAAGUAUGAAUUACAGUCAAGUAAUAACAGAUCUUAAUUUGUUCUUCUUACCUUAAACUUAAAAAAAGUGGUACUGUAUUUUCUAAUGAGAGCUUAUUUCAAAACAUUUCUCCCCCCUUUCGUCGCGUGCACCCUGAAAAACUCGAGGACAUUUUGAAAAGUCCUCAAAUUUGUUUCCAAUUUCCAAAAAUCAGGCAGUACCUGUGUUAAAAUGUCUGCUUGGAAACACUGAACAGCUAAAGAACUUGUUGAAAAUAUCCAUCCUUUUCAAAAUGUCCCUUUUUUUCCCCAGUGUACACACUUCUAAGAACCUCCAGAGUUUUUACUGUAAUCUGUGGCAUGGAUAUCCUCCGGCCAUUUUCAAAAUGUGACGUUCAGUGUCGAGAACACAAGCUCUUUCGGUAAAGUUCAUUCUGCCUCACCCACUCCACACCCUCGUUUUUUGUGCAAUGACAUGCAGGAACCCAGUCUCAUGUUGGGAACCCAUGUAUUAUGGAUCUGUUCUAUCAGUUUUAUGUUAUUUGUGGUCAAUAGUUAAAAGCAUUUUUGUGUUUGAGAUGGUCUGUGCAGUCUAUUUUUUCCUCCUCCCCCAUGUGAUUGUGUGUGCGUGCUUGCGUAUGUGUGAGAAUUUUUUUUGUGUCCUUUUUCCCUCUUCGACCCUUUCGUUGUCAGUAUUUUAUUUUUUCAACUUGUAAUUAAGUAUAUAUUUUGUCACUAAUAUAUACUUUACAAAAAUAGACUUGCGUGAAGUAUGAUGUGCACUUGAUUGCUCUUGUUUCUUUUUGAUUUAAUGUGGGCUAGGGAUAGUUUGUCAAGAGUCCAUUAUUUUGAGAUUGUUUGGACUUUUUUUAAUGGUUUGAUGUAAGCAGCAUUUUUUUGUAAAUAUUGUGAAACAUUACAGGUCAUGCAGUGAUGUAACAUUUUGAACAAUGUUGCACAGAUGUUUAAGAUAUUAAAAACAUGGUCACUCUUA